rnacentral:lncRNA from 1 species
AUCCCAAAGUUCAAUUCAAUUAAAAAUACUGUAAAAAAUAUAAAACUCAAUUCAAUUAAAAAUAAAAAGUUUCUUUGCUCAACCAAUUCCAUUCAGUCCACUCGGCCUGCUUAUAAAUAGAAAAGAAAAAAAAAUAAUCACAAUCUCUCUCUCUCCUCCUCCGCCGUCGCAGCCGACGAGGUAGGGUUCCGGCGGCUCGAGUUUGGCCGCGAGGAUCUCGUAAGAACCGUAGAGAAUUACGAUCGCCACGUACGUUUUCCUCCGCCACAGAUCGCUGAAGGAGUAGGUGCCAAAUAUCAAGUCGGCUCCACGUAUAGCGACUCCACAUAUAGCAAUAUUUUUAAAAAGUAUCAAUAAUUUAGUCAGCAGUAUUUUUUUUUGACAUAUACUGAUAUUUAAAAGUAUCGUUAUAUACUAUUUUUAUUGUAGUGUAGUAUUUUAUUGAAAAGAUGAGGGCCCACUGCUGGAAUAUUCUAGAGUUUAAAAAUUUUUUGGGCUCAUAGUAUUAGAAAAGAAAAAUUGAUAAGACAACGCACAAUAUGAGCUCUUGGAUAAACGGGCGUAGUAUAAUUCGAGCGAACCGAGUAAUAUUCAAGCUCGGCUUGAAAUGAAUUUCAAGCUUUCUUUUUAAUUCAAGCUUAGUUCAUUUAAUUUCGAGUCGAGCCUGAGCGAGCCAAAUAUCGAUUUGAACGUGAGCUGAACACGAGCCGGCUCACUCAUUUAAAAAUUUUAUUUUGAAAAUUUUGAUUUUACUAUAAUAUAUUUUGGAAAUACGAUAAGGUUCGGGUUUCAAAUUUUUGGUCAGGUUCAGAUAUAGGUAUGAAUUUUUAAAACCCGCCUGAUUCGGAUUUGAGUUCGAAUUUUAAUUUGGUUUUCGGGUUUGGGUUCGGGUUCUUAAAAAUCCGACCCAAACCCGACCCAUUGACAUCCCUAUCAAGAGCUUGGGAGUUUAGUCACUAGUAACAUUUUGGACCAAAGCUUGGCAUUAUUACUGUUACGAUAAAACUACAAACAAAAACGAAAAUGACGAACACGAAAUAAUCAAACUACAAGCAGAAAUAAAAAAGAACAUAUUGAUUUACGUGAAAAAUUCUUUGCAGGAAAAAAUCACGGACGAGUAAGGAGAGAAUAUUACUAUAAAAAAGGAAUAUAACAUUUGAGUACAACCAAUCACGAUUUGUCGCCUCUAGGACAAAAAACGAGAAGGAAAAAUUCUUAAUACAUUUUGGAUCCGAUCCAAUCCCUCUGCUACCCAUUACAGACAUUCAUUUUUCCUCCACAACUUACUUUUCAAAUUAGUUGCACUGGAAAUCACCGACAAGUUGAAAUUUUAAACUAAAAUCGAUUAUUAAUUUCGAGUCACAACUAAUAAUUAC